rnacentral:rRNA from 1 species
UACGAAGGGGGCUAGCGUUGCUCGGAAUCACUGGGCGUAAAGGGUGCGUAGGCGGGUCUUUAAGUCAGGGGUGAAAUCCUGGAGCUCAACUCCAGAACUGCCUUUGAUACUGAAGAUCUUGAGUUCGGGAGAGGUGAGUGGAACUGCGAGUGUAGAGGUGAAAUUCGUAGAUAUUCGCAAGAACACCAGUGGCGAAGGCGGCUCACUGGCCCGAUACUGACGCUGAGACGCGAAAGCGUGGGUAGCAAACAGG